rnacentral:misc_RNA from 1 species
UCUGGCUUAUAGCCAAGCGGUCCCCUUAGAGUGCCCAACUUAAUGCUGGUAACUAAGGGCGAGGGUUGCGCUCGUUGCGGGACUUAACCCAACAUCUCACAACACGAGCUGACGACAGCCAUGCAGCACCUGUCACCGCGUCCCCGAAGGGAACCCCUAGUUUCCUAGGGUAGCGCGGGAUGUCAAGUCUAGGUAAGGUUUUUCGCGUAGCAUCGAAUUAAACCACAUGUUCCACCGCUUGUGCGGGCCCCCGUCAAUUCCUUUGAGUUUUAAUCUUGCGACCGUACUUCCCAGGCGGGAUACUUAAUGCGUUAGCUACGACACCGAGGAGAUUAGGCUCCCCAACGUCUAGUAUCCAUCGUUUAGGGCGUGGACUAC